GCUCGCCUCAACGUCCUGAAGCUCCCAGAAGUGGCCUUGCACGGCGGCGCUACUCGUGGUGGCGGCUGGAAGCCAGACCCGAUCAAAUCGAAAAACCGAAGCUUCGAUCGGUAUAUCUCGAGCUGUAGUGCAUCGUUUUGAUUGAUUCUUUUUCCAGUGGGUUCCCCUUGAUGUUGUUAACAACUCUCUAGAAGGCAUCGAGGCCUGAAAUUGAAGUUUUUACGUCGAUCGGAGCCCUCGCCGGAUUCUGCAAAAUUCUGCAAAUUUUCCGACCACCGAAGCUUUCGAUCGGUAUAUCUCGAGCUACAGACCAUAUUUUUCUGUGAUUCUUGAACCAAUGCGUUCGUCUUGAGUUUCUUAACAACUCUCUAGAAGGAAUCGAAGCCUGAAAUUGAAGUUUUGACGUCGAAAUCAAGCCUUGCCGGAUUCUGCAAAUUUCGCCGGAUUCUGGAAAUUUUCCGGCCACCUCGACUGUUCUAGGUUAUCGACGGAUUGAUUUGGUGGACGAUUCGGAUUGAUGUAUUUGGCUUUUUAGAAGACGCAGCUGGAUUAGAGCGGGAAAUCCUACAGGUCAGGAAGAUCAAGGCGGAGAUCGUGCGGGUUAGAGUUUUUGUUUCAGUUUACAGCUUUGUAAAUUGUGAGAUGUAUUAUUAAGAGGUGUGAAGUGUGGUUGUUGUGAGAAAAAAAUUCAGGACGUUUAUUCUAUUAAGUUGUAUAAUUCAUGUUUCGGAUUUUAAUUGUAUUUAAAAUUCGGGGC